GACGAACGCUGGCGGCGUGCUUAACACAUGCAAGUCGAACGAAGUGGCGAACGGGUGAGUAACGCGUAAUCAACCUGCCCUUCAGAGGGGGACAACAGUUGGAAACGACUGCUAAUACCGCAUACUGAAGGAGGGGAUUGCGUCUGAUUGGCUCGUUGGGGGGGUAACGGCCCCCCAAGGCGAUGAUCCGUAGCCGGGCGGAGGGGAUGAACGGCCACAGUGGGACUGGGACACGGCCCAGACUCCUACGGGAGGCAGCAGUGGGGAAUCGUCCGCAAUGGAGGAAAGUCUGACGGAGCAACGCCGCGUGAGUGAUGACGGCCUUCGGGUUGUAAAGCUCUGUUAAUCGGGACGCGGUACCGGAAUAGAAAGCCACGGCUAACUACGUGCCAGCAGCCGCGGUAAUUC
rnacentral:rRNA from 1 species